rnacentral:misc_RNA from 1 species
UUAAGUUCAGCGGGUAGCCCUACCUGAUUUGAGGCCAGAGUACAAUGUAUAGUUGUAUGCGUACGACGAAACUUAUUACGUCUGCAUAAUGCUUUUAAGGAGAGCCAACAAAGGCAAACUCCCAAAUCCAUCUAAUUCAGAAACCCGAAUAGAUGAGUCUACAUGACACUCAAACAGGCAUGCCCUCCGGAAUACCAGAG